UGAACGCUGGCGGCGUGCCUAAUACAUGCAAGUCGAGCGAACAGAUAAGGAGCUUGCUCCUUUGACGUUAGCGGCGGACGGGUGAGUAACACGUGGGUAACCUACCUAUAAGACUGGGAUAACUUCGGGAAACCGGAGCUAAUACCGGAUAACAUUUGGAACCGCAUGGUUCUAAAGUGAAAGAUGGUUUUGCUAUCACUUAUAGAUGGACCCGCGCCGUAUUAGCUAGUUGGUAAGGUAACGGCUUACCAAGGCGACGAUACGUAGCCGACCUGAGAGGGUGAUCGGCCACACUGGAACUGAGACACGGUCCAGACUCCUACGGGAGGCAGCAGUAGGGAAUCUUCCGCAAAGGGCGAAAGCCUGACGGAGCAACGCCGCGUGAGUGAUGAAGGGUUUCGGCUCGUAAAACUCUGUUAUUAGGGAAGAACAAAUGUGUAAGUAACUGUGCACGUCUUGACGGUACCUAAUCAGAAAGCCACGGCUAACUACGUG
rnacentral:rRNA from 1 species